GAUGAAGAACGUAGCGAAAUGCGAUACUUGGUGUGAAUUGCAGAAUCCCGUGAACCAUCGAGUCUUUGAACGCAAGUUGCGCCUCAAGCCAUUAGGUUGAGGGCACGUCUGCCUGGGCGUCACAUAUCGUUGCCUGAUGCCAGUUUCCUCGUGAUGGGUGACUGUGCAGGGCGAAUGAUGGCUUCCCGUGAGCAUUGUUGCCUCAUGGUUGGUUGAAAAUUGAGUCCUUGGUAGGGAGCGCCGUGAUAGAUGGUGGUUGAGUGACGAACGAGACCCAAUCAUGUGAGACCCCUACCGAAUUUGGCCUUCAUGACCCACAUGCGUCUUUGGAACGCUCAUGACGAGACCUCAGGUCAGGCGGGGCUACCCGCUGAGUUUAAGCAUAUCAAGCGGAGGA
rnacentral:misc_RNA from 1 species